rnacentral:rRNA from 1 species
UACGUAGUCUGCGACAUACAGGAAGACCCG